rnacentral:rRNA from 1 species
CAGCCGCCACGGUAAUACGUAGGUGGCGAGCGUUGUCCGGAAUUAUUGGGCGUAAAGGGAGCGCAGGCGGACAUAUAAGUCCAUCUUAAAAGUGCGGGGCUCAACCCCGUGAGGGGAUGGAAACUGUAUGCCUUGAGUGCAGGAGAGGAAAGCGGAAUUCCCAGUGUAGCGGUGAAAUGCGUAGAUAUUGGGAGGAAUACCAGUGGCGAAGGCGGCUCUCUGGUCUGUCACUGACACUGAGGCGCGAAAGCGUGGGGAGCAAACAGGAUUAGAUACCCGCGUAGUCCCUGUCUCUUAUACA